GAUGAACGCUGGCGGCGUGCUUAACACAUGCAAGUCGAACGGAAAGGCCGAAGCUUGCUUCGGUACUCGAGUGGCGAACGGGUGAGUAACACGUGGGUGAUCUGCCCUGUACUUCGGGAUAAGCUUGGGAAACUGGGUCUAAUACCGGAUAUGACAAUCUCUUGGAUGGGGUUGUGGAAAGCUUUUGCGGUAUGGGAUGAGCUCGCGGCCUAUCAGCUUGUUGGUGGGGUAAUGGCCUACCAAGGCGUCGACGGGUAGCCGGCCUGAGAGGGUGUACGGCCACAUUGGGACUGAGAUACGGCCCAGACUCCGACGGGAGGCAGCAGUGGGGAAUAUUGCACAAUGGGCGCAAGCCUGAUGCAGCGACGCCGCGUGGGGGAUGACGGCCUUCGGGUUGUAAACGCCUUUCGCAACCGACGAAGCUUUUUGUGACGGUAGGUUGAGAAGAAGCACCGGCUAACUACGUG
rnacentral:rRNA from 1 species